AUUGAACGCUGGCGGUAGGCCUAACACAUGCAAGUCGAACGGCAGCACAGUAAGAGCUUGCUCUUACGGGUGGCGAGUGGCGGACGGGUGAGGAAUACAUCGGAAUCUACUUUUUCGUGGGGGAGAACGUAGGGAAACUUACGCUAAUACCGCAUACGACCUACGGGUGAAAGCAUGGGAUCUUCGGACCUUGCGCGAUUGAAUGAGCCGAUGUCGGAUUAGCUAGUUGGCGGGGUAAAGGCCCACCAAGGCGACGAUCCGUAGCUGGUCUGAGAGGAUGAUCAGCCACACUGGAACUGAGACACGGUCCAGACUCCUACGGGAGGCAGCAGUGGGGAAUAUUGGACAAUGGGCGCAAGCCUGAUCCAGCCAUACCGCGUGGGUGAAGAAGGUCUUCGGGUUGUAAAGCCCUUUUGUUGGGAAAGAAAAGCAGCAGGUUAAUACCCCGCUGUUCUGACGGUACCCAAAGAAUAAGCACCGGCUAACUUCGUG
rnacentral:rRNA from 1 species